AUUGAACGCUGGCGGCAGGCCUAACACAUGCAAGUCGAGCGGAGCGGCGGACGGGUGAGUAAUGCCUAGGAAUCUGCCUGGUAGUGGGGGAUAACGUCCGGAAACGGGCGCUAAUACCGCAUCCUAUCAGAUGCGCCUAGGUCGGAUUAGUUAGUGGGUGGGGUAAAGGCCUACCAGGGCGCCGCUCCGUAACUGGUCUGAGAGGAUGAUCAGUAACACUGGAAGUGGUACACGGGCCAGACUCCUACGGGAGGCAGCAGUGGGGAAUAUUGGACAAUGGGCGAAAGCCUGAUCCAGCCAUGCCGCGUGUGUGAAGAAGGUCUUCGGAUUGUAAAGCACUUUAAGUUGGGAGGCGUUACCAACAGAAUAAGCACCGGCUAACUUCGUGCCAGCAGCCGCGGUAAUUC
rnacentral:rRNA from 1 species